UGAAGUAGAGAAGGUUUGAAAGAACAAAUUCAAAUGCUAAAGUAAACGGUGGGCAUGUUAUGCUGAAAAGGUUAGAGGGAUAAGCGAAGGUACUAGCUAUUUUGUGAGUUCCUCGGGCACUAUCAAAAACACAUGCCCAAUAAAGAAAGUCAAUAGCGACGUUAGGAGAGCCUAGCGGUCUAUUGACUUUCUUUAUAGUGUUUUACGGAUUAGAAGAGUUAUUUUUCUCAUUUUCUUUCUGUUUCCUUGAACUACUUGAUGGAAAAAAUUAUGAUACG
rfam:Enterococcus rotai strain LMG 26678 genome.